rnacentral:rRNA from 1 species
AGGAUAAACGCUGGCGGCGUGCCUAACACAUGCAAGUCGAACGCCCUACGCAAGUAGGGAGUGGCGGACGGGUGAGGAACACGUGGGUUAUCUGCCUUUCGGUGAGGAAUACCAGCGAGAAAUCGCUGACAAUACCGCAUACGGUUCUCUCGUGAGAGAGAACGAAAGUCGUAAGACGCCGGGAGAUGAGCCUGCGCCCGAUUAGUUUGUUGGUGGGGUAAAAGCCUACCAAGACUGCAAUCGGUAGC